UGUAUCCUCCCUCACUCAUGCUCCAAUAUACAAAGCCAUUUCAAUCUUUUUUUUUCUUUUUUAGAUGAAUUCUUGUUGAACUCAGAGGGUAAUUUACAGCCAGAACUAAUGAAUCAACUGUUAAUCUACAGUAAUGUUUAAUGUUACAGUAAUUUGUUCGUUACGAGUCAGUCAGAUCAGAUGUAGGGUCGUACAUUUCCCGGUCUCUCUCAAGGAUUGCGUGAUUAGCCUUCCUUCCAACUUUGUUGUUGUUGUUGUUCUUCUUCUUACUUAAUGCACUCUGACGUCUAAGUCUAACGGCUGGUUAUAAACUCAUUCGUUUUAGCAUCUUUGAUCUUUCUCGCUUGCCUCUCUCUCUGCCUCUCUUUCUCACACACAAACACACACACACACACCUGGUGCAGGGGGAACUCGACUCUUCUUUAAUUAAGAGAAGAGCGUUGAAGGAAUUAGCGAAGGCUGUUGUUGAUGAUGACGAUGAUGACGACGACGACGACUGGGGGCUUGGAGAAGUUGGUGGGGAAUUUGAAGUCCAAACUCCUCAAGUCUCUGAGGAUGAAGAAAGCGUACGACAAAAUUGAGAAGAGUGAAAGCAUGAGAGUGGAAAUAAGGAGCAGGAAGGCUCGAAAGCUCAUCGAACGAACUCUGAGAAUCGCUGAUUCUCCCAACACCCGAACCUAUGCUUUCUGAAUUCAGCUCUGAAUCUGAAAUAUUAUGCAGUGUAUGUAUGCUCUCUUUUUGGCAGACCGUCUGAUUCCCAGUAUGAUUUAUGAGUGAGAGCCUUUUACUGUCUUCUUCUUCCUCUUGUUUUCUUUUCGUUUUACUUACCAUGUUCUACUAGUAGUAUUGGUUGUUCCAAUGAUCACCAUGGACCAAACAAAGAAGAAACCACUAGUCUCGGCUGGCUUUCAAAGGGUCUUAUCCUCUCUGCAAACGAAAACAUCCACAGAUAUCCAGUGAGUAGGUACGUAAAUCCAGCGUUGAGAGGAUGUUAUUCCGUUGCAUCUAGACUAUUGUGUCCAUUCCGUUGCAUCUAUUAAUUGUUAUUUACUCUUGUGGGCCUGGGCCUGGCCCUGGCUGUCUCCGAGACCCCGCAGCAGGAGGUGGGUUGGAGGCUUUCGCCUUUGGCGUGAGCUCAUAUUUAUUUGGUGCCGUAGAAUGUACAUUAUGUGCUUGUCCCCGCAAAGGUGACAAAUUAAAAACACGUCGUCAAAUGGGAGUAUC